AGACCCGAAACCCGGUGAUCUAGCCAUGGGCAGGUUGAAGGUUGGGUAACACUAACUGGAGGACCGAACCGACUAAUGUUGAAAAAUUAGCGGAUGACCUGUGGCUGGGGGUGAAAGGCCAAUCAAACCGGGAGAUAGCUGGUUCUCCCCGAAAGCUAUUUAGGUAGCGCCUCGUGAAUUCAUCUCCGGGGGUAGAGCACUGUUUCGGCUAGGGGGCCAUCCCGGCUUACCAACCCGAUGCAAACUGCGAAUACCGGAGAAUGUUAUCACGGGAGACACACGGCGGGUGCUAACGUCCGUCGUGAAGAGGGAAACAACCCAGACCGCCAGCUAAGGUCCCAAAGUCAUGGUUAAGUGGGAAACGAUGUGGGAAGGCCCAGACAGCCAGGAUGUUGGCUUAGAAGCAGCCAUCAUUUAAAGAAAGCGUAAUAGCUCACUGGUCGAGUCGGCCUGCGCGGAAGAUGUAACGGGGCUAAACCAUGCACCGAAGCUGCGGCAGCGAACGUAUCACUUAAAGCGAUUCAGCGGGUUACGAUUGACGGAGCGAAGCGACGUCAAAGCGUAUACAAAGUCGAGUCG
rnacentral:rRNA from 1 species